UAUUUAUUUUUUAUGUAAAAAUUCGUAAUUGUCUAUUGAGUAGUUUUACAUUUUUUUCCUUGAAAAAAUUUAGUGGAAAAUUACAGAAAAUUUUGUUAAAUAAUUUAUUUGAAUAUUUUGUGAAAUUUAAAUAACGCAAAAUUAUAGAGAGAAGUUAAUCCCCUAUUAUAAACAAGGGAGAUAACGACUCUCGACAUUGUCAUGAGAACUUGUUAUCAUUUCGUCCUUGUCUAUUUCUCCUUCAACGACAAUAGAAGUACGAAAUUCAAAUUGAGCCCUUUCCCCUUCUUUUCUUUCCUUUUCCUUCGUUGAUAGUCUCUUCCCUUUCUACCUUUGUAAUUUUUCCAUAAAAGUCUCACACUCUAACGGGGACCGUCUUUGGUGUUUCAACUUGUCCAGUGUAAAGUUCAUUUUUUAUCAAGUAUCCAAAUUUUAUUUAAUACAUUUUUAAUAGUUUAAAUAAAUUAAUUCAAAUUAUAAAUUACAAUUUAUAAAUCAAACUCAAAUAUUCGAAUGGAAAUUUUUCAGUGGAGUUGAAUUUGCAAGAAUUUUCCACGCAGCCAUGCUUUUUGAGAUAAGAAGAGACGAAUUUUUUUUUCAACAUCCCAGCCAUCUUUGAAAUAUAUUGAAUACAUUUUUUUUUACUUUUUUCUUUUACAUUCACAAAUGAGAGUUGGAUUCGGAAACAGGAUUUCAGAAGACGGAAGAAAGCGAAGCAUGAUUCAAAAUUCAUCAAAAUUUUUUGAAAAACUUAUUUUGUAAUUAGCUCUCCUUGUAUUAGAACUUUUUUCGUCGACUGGUACGAGUUAAAUUUAGAAUUACUUGUGUAAUUUUCGUGAAGUAAUAUUGUGAAUUUUAUUUUGUAAAUUAUUUAGAUAGGGAUUUGAAAAUUAAAAAAAUGCAAUUAUAUUAGAUAGGAAUCUAGCAUAUUAAGUCUAGUUUUAAGUAAAAUUAACUAAUUAAAAUUCUACAAGAGAGUUCAACAUCCAGUAGACUAGUAUCAAGUUCAGCAGAAAAUUCUAUUCAUCGAAAAUGAGGGGAAUGAAAGUAACAAAAGAAGACUCAUGACCAGAAGAAGAAAAAGGAUUGAUCACCGAACUAGAAGAUUUUUAUCAGCAAGUUACUUAAGUGCAAGAAUUAAUAAAGAUCAUUUUGUUGUAUAAUUAA